rnacentral:rRNA from 1 species
GAGUUUGAUCCUGGCUCAGAUUGAACGCUGGCGGCAUGCCUUACACAUGCAAGUCGAACGGCAGCAUGAUCUAGCUUGCUAGAUUGAUGGCGAGUGGCGAACGGGUGAGUAAUACAUCGGAACGUGCCCUGUAGUGGGGGAUAACUAGUCGAAAGAUUAGCUAAUACCGCAUACGACCUGAGGGUGAAAGUGGGGGACCGCAAGGCCUCAUGCUAUAGGAGCGGCCGAUGUCUGAUUAGCUAGUUGGUGGGUAAAGGCCCACCAAGGCGACGAUCAGUAGCUGGUCUGAGAGGACGAUCAGCCACACUGGGACUGAGACACGGCCCAGACUCCUACGGGAGGCAGCAGUGGGGAAUUUUGGACAAUGGGCGAAAGCCUGAUCCAGCAAUGCCGCGUGUGUGAAGAAGGCCUCGGUUGU